AUGAUGCCUAUCAAACUGUUUAAAAGUAUGGUUCUGCUAUCACUCUUGGGAUGGACCUUGCGGUGCAUUAGCUAGUUGGUAGGGUAACGGGCCUACCAAGGCGAUGAUGCAUAGCCCGAGUUGAGAGACUGAUCGGCCACAUUGGGGACUGAGACACGGGCCCAAACUCCUACGGGAGGCAGCAGUAGGGAAUCUUCCACAAUGGACGCAAGUCUGAUGGAGCAAACGCCGCGUGAGUGAAGAAGGGUUUCGGCUCGUAAAAAGCUCUGUUGUUGGUGAAGAAGGACAGGGGUAGUAACUGACCCUUUGUUUGACGGUAAUCAAUUAGAAAGUCACGGGCUAACUACGUGCCAGCAGCCGCGGUAAAU
rnacentral:rRNA from 1 species